GUACUAUAUAUGUUAAGUUUACAAAUUUUUUAGCUCAUAAUUCAAAAUAUCUGUAUAUUUAUAUUUAUUAUUCUCCCAAAAGUUAUAAAUAAUUAAAAUAACACUUUUAGUCAUAAAAAUUAAAAAUUAAUAAUUCAAAUAAUUAUAUGAUCAAAGCAUCUUGCCGUAUGUAUUUGGUCGAUAUAUUAAAUGUCCCCCAAUAGUUAUAUGUUAGUCUUGUGAAAAUAAUCUAUAUAAUCCUAAUUUGUGAAUACAAACAAAUUGGAAAAAGACCUUUUCUGUCCUUCCACUUUUUUCUCAAUACAUACAAACCUGUGUCUAUUGUGGUCAUUUUAGUUUAAUUUGGGUGCUCCAGAUCAAAAUGGGUCAAAUCCGACUUGAAUGCGGUUCUUUUCCCAGAUCAACCGGGUUCACCCGUAUACACUUGGAUCAACACAUUCUAAACAACUUCUUCCAACUGAUCCCACCAUUUUAGCUACCAUGAUUUUAUGUGUCAUUAAUUCAAAUUCUUCCGCCUGGUUUUCGAACUGAAGCCAUAAUCUCUUUUCGUCCGAGGAAAGCAAAUUCCAUGGAUGCAUCUGGUAUGCUUAAACAACUCUGUCAAUGUUUCUUUAUGUUCAUGUCUUCCAUGAUUUUCGCAUGUAGUUAACAAUCAAGUAGGAAAAGAUCUGCUUUGUGUUCUGUCUCGCCUUCUUCUAACCAUGGAAGUGAGUGUUAUAACCAUAUCAAUCAAUAAUCAUACCAGUUCUCCUUCAUUAUAGCCAUGACUUAUGCUAUGUGAUUCUUUGCAGUUAAUGGAAAACAGAGAUAUUUUCUCAAAUACUCUCAUCUGUCAAUUGGUUGAUUUCAUAGUGUUUGGAUGAAUGCAUACAAGAUGUUUGGAUGUCUCCGUCUUCACUCUUAUCAACGCUAAAGAUACAUACAAGGUUAGACAAUAAAGAGCGGCAAAAAAAUCGCUUCUUUCAGUCUCCAUAUUCGUGCAGGUCGUAAGCGCAUCCCUCUAGGUGCUAUUUCUCCUUCCUCCACAAGAACCGUUUCACGUCUUGGAACUCCAACUCCCACCAAUAUUUCUUGCCAAAUUCCAUUACAUUCUACCCAAUGAACAGUUAAAAUACAUUUUUUUUUAUCUCAGGUUCCAAUAAUCUAAAUCGCUCUGAAGUCAAUCAUCCAGUCCAUGGGUUUCAGACAUCAACUCAAACCUCAUGUUCCAAUACUACACCUGGUACUUGGUCUCAAAUCACUAAUCGAAGUCAUGGAGUCAGGAAUUCAACUCAGACAGAAGGCACUACCGGUCUUGGUGGUAGUCAAGGAUAUCUGCCACCAUCAUAGAGGCGGCUGCAUGACAUUGAUCUUUCUGAGUGCAGUUUCAUCCCAGUGCGGAACCAAAUAAGCUGUAAAAUAUAGCUCAGUGAUAUGAUCAGUAGUUUAGCACAAGCUGAUUCUGCGGACACCUCUGACUCUUCAUAUGAUGCUCCAAACGUGUAUGCACUCAGGUUAGUUUAUAUUGCUGUUGGAGUUGGAGUAGCUGCUUCCAUUACAUGAUCAUCAGUUUUCUGCUUCAAGGGAGAACAAGGAUCCCACUACUGAAAAAUUCUCUAGCCGGCAGAUUCACAGGUUCCAUCUGGAGCGUACUUUUCCAUAUGAUGAACACAUAGUUUUGAUUAUAUAGUUUUCUAACUAAUAAUUACUAAGCAUGGAACAAAGGUCAUUUAAAAUAAACUCCUGCCACGAAUGUUGGAGUAUUUCUUCAGAGUAAUUUGAGUGAUGAAAAAGAGAAUAAGAACCUCCAAAAUAUACCCUAUCCAUUUUUGAGUGAUUGAGAUCAAAACUUUGUUUACUAUAUGUUUUUUGUCUAAUUAUAUGUUGUCCUUAGUUUAA